AUUGAACGCUGGCGGCAUGCCUUACACAUGCAAGUCGAACGGCAGCACGGGUGCUUGCCCCUGGUGGCGAGUGGCGAACGGGUGAGUAAUACAUCGGAACAUGUCCCGUAGUGGGGGAUAGCCCGGCGAAAGCCGGAUUAAUACCGCAUACGAACUACGGAUGAAAGCGGGGGCCCUUCGGGCCUCGCGCUUUAGGGUUGGCCGAUGGCUGAUUAGCUAGUUGGUGGGGUAAAGGCCUACCAAGGCGACGAUCAGUAGCUGGUCUGAGAGGACGACCAGCCACACUGGGACUGAGACACGGCCCAGACUCCUACGGGAGGCAGCAGUGGGGAAUUUUUGACAAUGGGCGAAAGCCUGAUCCAGCAAUGCCGCGUGUGUGAAGAAGGCCUUCGGGUUGUAAAGCACUUUUGUCCGGAAAGAAAUCCUUGGCCCUAAUACGGUCGGGGGAUGACGGUACCGUAAGAAUAAGCACCGGCUAACUACGUG
rnacentral:rRNA from 1 species